AUACGGAGGAUCCGAGCGUUAUCCGGAUUUAUUGGGUUUAAAGGGUGCGCAGGCGGCCAUUUAAGUCAGCGGUUAAAUCGUGGGGCUCAACCCCAUUCUGCCGUCGAUACUGGGUGGCUUGAUUGCGGUCGAGGUUGGCGGAAUUCGUUGUGUAGCGGUGAAAUGCAUAGAUAUGACGAAGAACACCGAUUGCGUAGGCAGCUGACCAGACCGCAAAUGACGCUCAUGCACGAAAGUGCGGGGAUCGAACAGGAUUAGAUACCCUGGUAGUCCG
rnacentral:rRNA from 1 species